rnacentral:rRNA from 1 species
AUUGAACGCUGGCGGCAUGCCUUACACAUGCAAGUCGAACGGCAGCGGGGACUUCGGUCCGCCGGCGAGUGGCGAACGGGUGAGUAAAGUAUCGGAACGUACCUUUCAGUGGGGGAUAACGUAGCGAAAGUUACGCUAAUACCGCAUAUUCUGUGAGCAGGAAAGCAGGGGAUCGCAAGACCUUGCGCUGAUUGAGCGGCCGAUAUCAGAUUAGCUAGUUGGUGAGGUAAAGGCUCACCAAGGCGACGAUCUGUAGCGGGUCUGAGAGGAUGUUCCGCCACACUGGAACUGAGACACGGUCCAGACUCCUACGGGAGGCAGCAGUGGGGAAUUUUGGACAAUGGGGGCAACCCUGAUCCAGCCAUGCCGCGUGAGUGAAGAAGGCCUUCGGGUUGUAAAGCUCUUUCGGCCGGGAAGAAAUCGUAUGGGUUAAUACCCUGUGCGGAUGACGGUACCGGCAUAAGAAGCACCGGCUAACUACGUGCCAGCCGCCGCAGUAA